rnacentral:rRNA from 1 species
AGAGUUGAUCAUGGCUCAGGACGAACGCUGGCGGCGUGCUAACACAUGCAAGUCGAGCGAUGAAGCUCUUCGGAAGUGGAUUAGCGGCGGACGGGUGAGUAACACGUGGGUAACCUGCCUCAUAGAGGGGAAUAGCCUUCCGAAAGGAAGAUUAAUACCGCAUAAGAUUGUAAUAUCGCAUGAUAUAGCAAUUAAAGGAGUAAUCCGCUAUGAGAUGGACCCGCGUCGCAUUAGCUAGUUGGUGAGGUAACGGCUCACCAAGGCGACGAUGCGUAGCCGACCUGAGAGGGUGAUCGGCCACAUUGGGACUGAGACACGGCCCAGACUCCUACGGGAGGCAGCAGUGGGGAAUAUUGCACAAUGGGGGAAACCCUGAUGCAGCCAACGCCGCGUGAGUGAUGACGGUCUUCGGAUUGUAAAGCUCUGUCUUCAGGGACGAUAAUGACGGUACCUGAGGAGGAAGCCACGGCUAACUACGUGCCAGCCGCUGC